AUUGAACGCUGGCGGCAGGCCUAACACAUGCAAGUCGAGCGGUAGAGAGAAGCUUGCUUCUCUUGAGAGCGGCGGACGGGUGAGUAAUGCCUAGGAAUCUGCCUGGUAGUGGGGGAUAACGUUCGGAAACGGACGCUAAUACCGCAUACGUCCUACGGGAGAAAGCAGGGGACCUUUGGGCCUUGCGCUAUCAGAUGAGCCUAGGUCGGAUUAGCUAGUUGGUGGGGUAAUGGCUCACCAAGGCGACGAUCCGUAACUGGUCUGAGAGGAUGAUCAGUCACACUGGAACUGAGACACGGUCCAGACUCCUACGGGAGGCAGCAGUGGGGAAUAUUGACAAUGGGCGAAAGCCUGAUCCAGCCAUGCCGCGUGUGUGAAGAAGGUCUUCGGAUUGUAAAGCACUUUAAGUUGGGAGGAAGGGCAGUUGCCUAAUACGUAACUGUUUUGACGUUACCGACAGAAUAAGCACCGGCUAACUCUGUG
rnacentral:rRNA from 1 species